rnacentral:rRNA from 1 species
UACGUAGGGGGCAAGCGUUGUUCGGAAUUACUGGGCGUAAAGGGCGCGUAGGCGGCACGGCAAGUCAGGAGUGAAAGCCCUGGGCUCAACCCGGGAACUGCUUUUGAAACUGCCGAGCUAGAGCACGGUAGAGGCAGAUGGAAUUCCCGGUGUAGCGGUGGAAUGCGUAGAGAUCGGGAAGAACAUCAGUGGCGAAGGCGGUCUGCUGGGCCGUUGCUGACGCUGAGGCGCGACAGCGUGGGGAGCAAACAGG